CUAAGGGAUAAUUCGGAACCUUACAUUAAUCAAAAUCUUGGUCAGUUUUGAGAGUAUCUACUCUUAUGGGGAGUUAGCUCAGUUGGGAGAGCGCUCACUUGCUUGCAAGUGAGAAGACGAAGGUUCAAUCCCUCCAUUCUCCAUUGACACGUAAGUGUCAUUUUUGUUCUUUGAAAACUAGAUAAUAUUAUUUUCUGUAAUAAUUAUAUUUUUAUAUAAUUGAACCGAGAAAUAACCAUUGUGCUAUUUUUGAGUUUUUUAAUUAGUUUUAAUCGCUAAAACUCAAAUAAUUUAUAAUCCGUAGGAUUAUA
rnacentral:misc_RNA from 1 species